AACGAACGCUGGCGGCAUGCCUAACACAUGCAAGUCGAACGAGAUCUUCGGGUCUAGUGGCGCACGGGUGCGUAACGCGUGGGAAUCUGCCCUUUGGUUCGGAAUAACAGUUGGAAACGACUGCUAAUACCGGAUGAUGACGAAAGUCCAAAGAUUUAUCGCCAGAGGAUGAGCCCGGGUAGGAUUAGCUAGUUGGUGUGGUAAAGGCGCACCAAGGCGACGAUCCUUAGCUGGUCUGAGAGGAUGAUCAGCCACACUGGGACUGAGACACGGCCCAGACUCCUACGGGAGGCAGCAGUGGGGAAUAUUGGACAAUGGGCGAAAGCCUGAUCCAGCAAUGCCGCGUGAGUGAUGAAGGCCUUAGGGUUGUAAAGCUCUUUUACCCGGGAUGAUAAUGACAGUACCGGGAGAAUAAGCUCCGGCUAACUCCGUGCCAGCCGCCGCAGUCC
rnacentral:rRNA from 1 species